UGAGAAAUUAUUCAGCAAUAGCUACGCUCCUGUCUCACAAGUUGAAUGUGAUUGGGUUUAGCUGUGUCUGGAAGGAAGCACCGGUAACAAAGGCAGCAUAUGCUAUGAGGCUUCCUAAAGAUCC